rnacentral:lncRNA from 1 species
ACCCUUUCUACCCUACCGCAAUCGAAGAGUUGAGAAUCCCUACGUACACUUCGGGACAAGCCUAGGUCCCCAACAAAGAUAUUUGAUAUUGGUUUGGUGGACAGAGCCUGGGUCGCCAAGCCCAAGCCCCCCGACAAAGAGUAUGGAUCACUAUAUCACAAAAAUUCGUCUUGCUUAGGUUGAAGCAAAUGCCAGUGUAACCUGUGGCUACCUCAGGACUAUCUGACUACACUAUUUGCGUUAAGGCACUGAAGCCGGAGUUUGCUUGGUAGGGGUUAGCUUAUUCCCAGACGAAC